rnacentral:lncRNA from 1 species
GGCAAAUGUUAGAUGGUGUAUUUUUCAUCAUUUGUCUUCAUUGAAAUUUGGCUCCAGUUACUAAAAAAUAUAUGAAAGAAAAUCAAGCAGAGAACACGGGGUCAUGGAAAGGCCCUGGCUCCCGACACAGAACCUCAGUGCUGUUCAAAUGGCUGUGGGUUUUGUUAUUGCAAAACACGGUGCAGAACUGGCGCCAGUUCCAACAGGCAGAGGGAAGGAGGGUGUUUGACCCACAGGCCUGUGGAUGAAGAUGUGGGGGUCCAGGGAGGGGCUGCUGGUGCCCCUUCAGGGGCUGCUCCGGGACCCCACCCUGUUCUGUGUGGGGUGGGGGGGCACCCCAGCUCUUGGGGCGCUAGGGUGGACUCUGGGGAGAGCACUGAUGAAAUGCCUUGAGAGGUGGACAGCUUGCAGGUCCCAGCACUGGUCUUCCAACACUGGCUCCACGGGGGGAGGGGAGCUCCUGUACGGUCCUAUCCUGCUCCUACCGUCUGCUUCCCAUCUGGACAUGGAAGUUUUGCCACCUUCUGGAGACGUCCUGGGAGGAUGAAAUAUGAAUCAUUCGCUACCUCUGACCAGGCAACAAGCACGCUCACAGGAAAGCUCAUUGUGAGCCAGCAAGAGGCAUCUAAAUGUCACAGAUGAGGCUCGUGAUGGGGACUCGAAAGGUGGCCAGCAAGCCUUCCCUGGAGACCAAAGCCAUCCUCGCCGCAGUCCCUGCCUGCCCCACCGCGGGAGGCUGCCAGGGCUCCUGUUCACCCGAGACGCCUCGCCACCUGCUGGGACGCGCAGCACGGAGGGAGCAGACCACAGGCUCCGCUGCUAGAGUUGCCCCCGCUCACGGGGCACCGGGAGCCCAUGCGUCUCCCUGAGCUGAAACGUAUGGACUUCAGCAGGACCGAGGCCGGGCUUCCUCCCUGCGUUUUUGGGGGGCCUCGUGAAGCACACGCCUGGGAUUUCUCUCUGCUCCCUGGGUGCUCAUCCUGUGUGGGAGCAAGGUGAAGUCUUGGUGUUGAACGUGGUUCUAGAUCCGGGUUUGAAUCCGGGUAAGCCUCCAAUACUUACCCUGCUCCCCUCUCAAGCAGGUGGUUGGUCACCUUACAAGGAUUUUGUCCCAGCUGGGCCUUCAGUGGAUGGUGCCCGGCUCUUUGUCUCUUACCAGAUUUGGAGCUGGGGUAUGCAGGGAGCGGGGAGGUGUUGGAAAAUGAGGGAAGAUCCUGAUUAUAACAGAGGCAGAACUCCUAAGACCAGCGACUCUGGGAUCUCUCACUGUUGGUUUGUAUUCAUGACGCUCUCUGAGGAGGAACGCCCCAGAGAAAACACCCCCUCUUCCCCAAAGCAGAAUGCCAUUCACAGGGGAGUUUGGGAUGGGGACUACAUGGGAUGGUCUCCAACUGACGAUGUUCUAACUGAUGAUUUUUUGACUUCAUGAUGUUUGCAUUUCGGUAUAAACUACUGGAAUUUUGAAUCUGGAUCUUGUCCCAGGCUAGCAACAUGCUGUCUGGUCCUCUCUUGUGAUGCUGGCCAGUGGCCCCGGGGCCUUAGCACCUGUCAGUCAGGCGAUCAUGAGGGAAAACAGGUGACACAGUGACAGCCAUUUAUACCCGAGAACCACACUGGUGUUCACUUUCAGUACAGCACUCAGUAAGCCACACGAGCUGUUCAAGAUGUCAUAAGAUGGGCUUCGAGUGAGAUGGCUUUGCCCGACCGUGGGCUGAUGCCUGACCAUGGGCUGAUGUACAUGCUCCGAGCAUGUCAGAGGGUGGCUCAGCCAACCUAGUAUGUUAGGUUAGGUGUCUGAAACGCAUUUGCGACUUACCAGUAUUUUCAGCUUAUGGCAGGUUUAUCGGGAUGAAACCCCAUCCUAAGCUGAGAUGAGGAUCUACAUGUGAAAAUGCAAGCAGAACGAGUCAAAAAUAUAUCAGAUGCAACUACGGUAAAGCUUAGAAGGAUACUCAUAGCUUUAAAUGCUUAUCUUAGAAAAAAAGAAAAAAAAAUGAAAUCAAUAACCUAAGUGUUCACAAAGAGAAUCUUGGAAAAUA